GUGCUUGCUUCGGCAACAGAUAGGCUGAAAUUGGGAUGAUACAGAGAAGACUGGCAGGGCCUCUGCAAAAAGAUGACAGGCAAAUCUGUGAACCGUUUGGUAUUUUU
rnacentral:snRNA from 1 species